rnacentral:rRNA from 1 species
UAGGGAAUCUUCCACAAUGGGCGCAAGCCUGAUGGAGCAACACCGCGUGAGUGAAGAAGGGUUUCGGCUCGUAAAGCUCUGUUGUUAAAGAAGAACACGUAUGAGAGUAACUGUUCAUACGUUGACGGUAUUUAACCAGAAAGUCACGGCUAACUACGUGCCAGCAGCCGCGGUAAUACGUAGGUGGCAAGCGUUAUCCGGAUUUAUUGGGCGUAAAGAGAGUGCAGGCGGUUUUCUAAGUCUGAUGUGAAAGCCUUCGGCUUAACCGGAGAAGUGCAUCGGAAACUGGAUAACUUGAGUGCAGAAGAGGGUAGUGGAACUCCAUGUGUAGCGGUGGAAUGCGUAGAUAUAUGGAAGAACACCAGUGGCGAAGGCGGCUACCUGGUCUGCAACUGACGCUGAGACUCGAAAGCAUGGGUAGCGAACAGGAUUAGAUACCCUGGUAGUCCAUACCGUNNCGAUGAGUGCUAGGUGUUGGAGGGUUUCCGCCCUUCAGUGCCGGAGCUAACGCAUUAAGCACUCCGCCUGGGGAGUACGACCGCAAGGUU